UUUCCCUGGAUUUUAGGCCUAUGUUUUCACAUACACCAUAACAAUGUAAUAGAAUGUUAUUAAUGGGCUUUAUUGCCUAUAAACUAUAUACAACUUUCAGCAACGGAUCUCUUGGCUCUCGCAUCGAUGAAGAACGCAGCGAAAUGCGAUAAGUAAUGUGAAUUGCAGAAUUCAGUGAAUCAUCGAAUCUUUGAACGCACCUUGCGCUCCUUGGUAUUCCGAGGAGCAUGCCUGUUUGAGUGUCAUUAAAUUCUCAACCUUAUUAGCUUUUGCUGAUAAUGGCUUGGAUGUGGGGGUUUAUUUGCUGGCUUCUUCAUGAGAUCAGCUCCCCUUAAAUGCAUUAGCUGGUUGCCUUGUGCAGACUUGUCUAUUGGUGUGAUAAUUAUCUACGCCGUGGUCAGUCUGCCUGUCUUUAGCACCGCUUCUAACUGUCUGUUUACUCGGACACUUUAUGACAAUUUGACCUCAAAUCAGGUAGGACUACCCGCUGAACUUAAGCAUAU
rnacentral:sRNA from 1 species